UACGAAGGUGGCAAGCGUUGUUCGGAUUCACUGGGCGUACAGGGAGCGUAGGCGGUUGGGUAAGCCCUCCGUGAAAUCUCCGGGCCUAACCCGGAAAGUGCAGAGGGGACUGCUCGGCUUGAGGACGGGAGAGGAGCGCGGAAUUCCCGGUGUAGCGGUGAAAUGCGUAGAGAUCGGGAGGAAGGCCGGUGGCGAAGGCGGCGCUCUGGAACGUUUCUGACGCUGAGGCUCGAAAGCGUGGGGAGCAAACAGGAUUAGAUACCCCGGGUAGUCC
rnacentral:rRNA from 1 species